AUAAAGCAAGGCACUGAAAAUGCCUAGAUGAGUGUACUAACUCCAUAAACA
rnacentral:tRNA from 1 species